UGUAAUUUCAAACAGAAUUGAAGAAGAUUUAAAAAAAUCUUCAUCACUUCAGAAUAAACAGAAUUUUAUUUCAGCACCAUUUUAUAUUCUCCUAUGGCAUACAAACUGAUGUCAAAUACGGAGUUUUCAUGGACGCUUUGGUUAAUAUUUGCAUUGUUAUGUGGUGCUAUUAAAUGCAUCAGUGCUUAUUUGAGAAACCACUCAGCUUUAAACUGAAGAUCAAAGGGGUUUAUUUUGUUAAGGACACCUUUGUUUGGGUAGCCACUUUGAUCAAAUAAACCAAUAUUGUUAGAAUUCUCGCUGAAAUUAAAUGAAUGAAGUCGGAAUAACCAUUAACGUAUUCUAACAUUGAAUUUCCUGUUUCGCACAACGUGAAGCCUGCUCCUUUACACUUGACGGACAGAUGCUUUAAAAAGAAGAAGAUCGCAGUAGCGGAGCUGCCAGGGACUAACACAGGUCCAUUACAGAAUGCGGUGUUGGAAGUGGUGCUCCCAGCGUUAUCAGAGCCGACCACAAAUGCCACAUGAAAAGCAGCAAACAUCCGGAGGGUUUCCUGCAAAUCGAGCAGUUUCCCAAGACAAGAGCCUUUUUUAAAAAAACCGUGUAUUUAAAGGCAGCACACUAUGCCUCUUUAGAGAGAUUCGAAACCACUAAAUGAAAGCAGCCGAGCCCGACAGCGCUGCAUAGUACAAGAAAUCUCCCCGAAUGAAGACUUUUUGGGACUUUGCGUUAGGAAACUGAGUUUAUUGCAAAGGCCCUUGUUAGGAAGGAUCCACUAUUGAAUGAAAAAAAUCAAAACCCCAAAAAUGAAAAAAUAUCCCUUUCAGAAACUCUAGCUAUGGAAACACCGUUAAUUACUUUACAGCAAAACAAUAGUCCCCAGCAUCUUCGCCUGCCUCACUUUAAUCUGCAAGCUGCUUUCCAGCAAAUGCACACAGACCCGAGGAAAGCUUGAGGCUCUCAACUGCCCUCAGCAUCCGAAGCGGAGCCGCUUGGCUGGAAUCGCGUCCCGUCGCCGCGGGCUCGGGGACAGGCACUUGGCAGUGGGACAGCAGGGCCGCGCACAGCCAGCUCCCCGCACCCGUGCGCGCCCGCCUGGGGGGGUGUUAAGCAGCGGUGUCCCCGCGUUUUAGGACUGAAGGGAGUCCGGCGGGGGGAGCGGGACGUGCGCGACUCCCAUUCCGAGCUCUCGGAGGACCUGCAGUGCCGGAGAGAGCCUGGACCGUGGCUUCUCCUAGGAAGGGGUUAACUCAUCUCUCCGACGUGGCUGCUUGGGCUUGGCUCUAAGGCGCCUUCCCUGCCCCCGCCUGAAGGCAGACACCAAAGGUACGGGAGCCAGUGGCAAGGGACAUGUUUAACUGACACCAGUGCUCGGUGCUGCUGUAAUACCUCUUCCAGACAGACAAUAUGUGGACCCAAACAAAGUUUGAGUGACUUGAAAUAACAUUAUUUUAUGAGUAAAGCAUAGAAGUGACUCUUCUCUCAAACCGCUGACAGCAUAAUCUAGACCUAAGUCUCAUCACCCUUUAUACGAAUAAAUUUCCAUACUUUAAUAUAAAGACAGAUUAAUGAGGCUAAUGUCUCAGACCUGUUGCACAUUCCUUUGUCAACAGUUUGCUUACAUGAGUUUCCAACUUCAUUCUGACUUCUGUGCCCUUUGGUUUGAGAAUGAGUUGCAUAGACCAUGAAGCAGUAUAGUAACUGAAACUGGCCUACACUUGAAUUUCCAAGAACAGAAGUCCUGUUACUUUAAAUAUUUAAGUAUAUACAAGUCAUUAAACAAAAUUUUAAAAGAAAAGGGGAAAAAAAAGAGUGCUUUGUACAAUGCUGGACCCACUCCAAAAGUUCAGAGAUCUGAUCUGACCUAGGCAAUUUGGCCCAGCCUCUGUAUUUAUGCUGGUUUUAUGUCAGUGGAGCUACUGCUAACUUGUUUUACUCUAAGAUUUAUUCUGACAAGCUAGAUACCAAAGUGAUGGACUAGUCAAGGACAAGUCAUGUAACUGUAGAAUGAAAAAGCUGACCCCAGUUACACUGAAGUGAAAAAAAAGUGCUUCACUGGCAUCACUCAGCUCCUAGAAUACUCUUAAUAAGGCCAGAAGACUGACUAUCAUAGAUAUUCUCUAGAGUAUAUAUAUAAUAUUUAUAUUAUAUUUAUAUUAUAUAUAAUGCUAUUGCAGUCUUGUAAUACAUAUCUAUACAUUGCUUUAUUUAGUAGACAGCAGUGCUUUACAGUAGUUUGAAAGGGUGAAGUUCUUUGUCUUAGCCAGAAUAAAAGUGUUUUAUUAUACAAAUGAGAAAGUAGCUGGGCUUGGAACUGGGCAGUAACUUCUAACAUGCUAACUGCUUAUGGUCAUCGAAGAGAUGAUCAGUGAUUUAGCAUAAGGAAAUAAUCCUAUAUUAGCUGUUUAGCAGUAGUAAGUUAGAAGCACUAAUAAAAAUUCUAAAUUCAAACAUCAAUAUCUUCCCAUUUGUAUUUCUGAUGAAUCAGCGGUGAAAAACAGGUAAGAUCAGGCAGAAAAUAAGAGUGGAUUUAGAUCCUCAGCAACACAAAAGAUGGAUAAAACAUUUUUUCCAAAAUGGACAAUAUGAUACAUUUCUUUUAAAAUAAAUGCAUAAUCCCUGAAAUUAGAGGAAAUGUUAAUGUUAUUUAAAAAUACCUGUUCUAUUACCUGACCAAAAUUCUCUAUAAGCAAAACAUGGGAAUACAAAAUUUGAUAUUGAUUAGCAAAUUAAAAAAACAAAUUGUUUAAGGCUUUAAUUUUUAUAUGGGCCCAGUGGAAAUGUUCUGAAUUUUCAUAAUAUCUUUGCAAAUACUUUCAGUGACUAAGUGUACAACAGAUGACAUUUGACAUUUAUUUAGUUAAAUAAGCACAAAAAGAAAAAGACCUCACCCAUCAGACAGUUGGAAGGUUUGAGAAAUUAGUUUGGUUUAAUUUCUUGAUAGCUGCAGCUGUUUUAUUUUAUGGUAUUUGUUUUCUUUGAGUACUCUUAAUUGAGAAAGUGAUUUUAAAUUUUCAUAUUCAUAAUUUUCUUAUUAGUUUAUUAAUAUUAAUUAAAAUCCUGAUUAGGUUCUCUUUAAAUGCAAUUUAAAGUUGCAGAUUAUAACAAAAAAAAUCUGUACAUCUUCCAAAUCCAAAGCAGCCAACCUGAUCAUGUUUCUAACAAUACCAUAUUCGCAGUAAUUUCACUGACAUGCAUCUGCUUUCUCUACUGGGCACAAUGAAAUCUACAAUUUCUCUGCCUAGAACAAUUAAUAUUCAGCAUUCUGAACACCUUUGCCACUGAGCUGUGAGAGAGAAGGAAACAGCCCCUCAUGGGAUCACGCCUGGCACAAGAAGUAACAACUUAAAAAAGACAGCUAAGCCUCACAAACCUUCAAACUAUGAUGAACAAUGCAGGUGGGUGGGGUUUUUUUUGAUCCAUUGAUCCAGUAAUUAUUUCCUGGGCUUGAGGUGUGCUCAGAAUUACCUAGCUGCAGUUCAGCAGUCACACCUAUUUCACUUGCCUGGCCUACUUGUGUUUGAAGAAAACCCAAGGCUGAAAGUCUCCUUUCCUCUUGCUUUGUCCCCUUAACAUCACCUUUUUAUCUUCACAACAGUCUUUGAAGGGUAUUUACUGAAAGGAUGAGAGAGUGGUUAUCACACAGAACUGAAAACUUAAAAAAAGAAGACCAGGAAUUUCAAUAAACUUUCUCUGUAGCUAGAUCAAGGACUAGAGAUCCUCACUCCUACUGCAAACAACCUGCAAGAUCUAAGACGAUUUCUACCCAGCUAUCUCCAGUUUACCUGUUCCAUUAAGAUAGGAUGCCUGCUUAACUGAGUUCUAGAUUCAAGUUGCAUGAACAUGCAAUUUACCAACCUUGCCUCAAUGACAAAUUUAAUGGCCUUUUCUGUUUUUUAAAAAUUAGUCAAGUCUUGAUUAGGAGACAAUUUCCGAAGGAGUAGAUGGACAGUGUCAACAGACCUCUACCAUUACAGCCUGAAGAGGUUUGAAUUGAAGAAGCAAGGAUUGGACAACUUUAAUUUCUGGAUUUGCAUGUGUAUAAAUACACUUGCUAUGAAAGGACUGCAUAUUCAUGCUUCUUUGAUUCAGACCAGUGUCCUGCAAAAAGUAAAGGUAGUAAGUCACUCAGCACAGGAUGAAAAGAAAAAUGCUUAAGAAAUAUUAACCAUCUGCAGAGGCCAGAGCUGGAACUGAAGCACACCAAAAUUAUCUGACACGAUUGUAAUACCUAGUUUUCCAUAGGCAUCUCUUUGCAGCAGCCUCCUAGUCUUCCCUCCCAGCUGAUGAGAAGUUGCAAGAUUUGUAUUGCAAGCUCUCUGCUACUCCAGGAAAUCCAGAUGACGAGUGCUGACAGUUGCUAGGAACACAUUUUAUGUCAGUACACACAAGUGCUCAAGCACCGUGAGAGUACCAUUUGAAAACAAAAUGUGAGCUAAGGCAACCCAAAACACGAAGGUAGUUGACAACCACUCGGCCACUCACCAGAGGGAGCCCAUUUUCCCCAAAAGCCGGCAUUUGUAGCACAGCCAACCUGCUGGUUCCUCAGAACUGCCCCGUUAAAAACUCUACAGCUGCUGGGAGGAGUGGCUGCCAGCUAAGGGAGGCACACGGACAUACUGUGAACAGGAAAGGACAGAGCGUAAAGGACUUUUGUAGCUGCUUGAUUACUACUUUCUGCAGCACAAAAUGUUCUUUAUUGAAGAAGUUGCUACAUUAGACUUUCAAAUUGAAUGUGGCUGGGAGAAACCAGUUAUGUGUCUACAGCAUAUCACUGACAGAGGUAAACAUUUUAUACUGUCCUAGGUAGGCUUCUUGUUAUGAUGUGUAUUUGUGAUAUAUUACAUUGAAUACUUUAAGCCAGGUUCUUGCAAGAAAACAAUUGCUUUUUCAAUAGAAAAAUAAUUUUUUUUCCAAAGACCCUUCUCACUUUACCUUUCCUCAAGGGGAGAAUCAGCCUUCUAAUAUAUUAGUGUAUCUUAUAAAUUCUUUAAAGUCCAACUGUAAAGCUUUAGUAACAUAAUUUGCUUUUCAACUAAGCACAGAAUUAAGUCUGAGCUCAUAGUCAACACUGGAACAUGUCCUGCUCAGGAAGAACCUGCAGCUCCUUCCAGGGCCAGACUGUGUGCACACAAUGUUUGGAACAGGGCAUGAUACAGAGGUGCCUUGGCAGCUUUCAGAACCUGGCAGAGCUGUAAAAGUGGGGGUUUUUUUGUGUUGCUUGGUGGUUUGGGUUUUUGUUUGGCUUUUGUUGGCUUUUUUUUUAAUCUUUAGCCAGGUAAACACAAGAUCUGUUUAGCAGCAAAACUCCCCUGCUGCCUAUCUAAACAGGAAGGUCUUGCUAGUGAAGACAGUUACAUCAGUAAGCAUGUCCUUCUGGCACUAGAAGAUUAUCUAGUUUCAUACCUUCUGGUAUCUGUCUUUUCCUUUUCUUCAUAUCAUGAGAUAUUAUUAAAUUACUACUUUUGAUUUUGGAGUCUUCUGUGUUCAUAUUUGUUUCCUAAUUACUGAUUAAUGCAUUACCUCAGCACUUUUCAUAGAUACUGUGAGGCAGCAGUCAGUAGAUGCCACAGCACAGACCUGAACUACUGAUAAAUAAAAAUCAAGACCCAUUGAUCAUUUCCUUUGCAUGGAAAGCAUAUUUGCUGGUGGAGUCAGUUUUAAAAUUUCCCUUUCAGAUUUGCAAUAAUGCAGCCACACAUUCUUUGCCACUUUUGCCAUUAUUAUAUUCCUAAUUCAAUAGCAAAAUGCAAACAACAAAAAUUUGGUCUGGGUAAGUAAUUAUACUAUGUAAGUUGCUAAUUAAUAGCUGUACAAUUUUUUAAAAACUAAUUCUCAGAAUCUUCUUUGCAGUCUGUAGCUUCAGAAACAUCUUGAAAUACAGUCAGCUAAUUUUUAUUUAAAGGUGUGAUUACAGAACUCAGGCUGGAUCUAUCAUCUGUUUUUGGAAAGGUUCCACAUUAAUGGGGACUCACUGGUCCAUCAUAGAUACUGAAUCUCAACACAGCACUGGCUAGACAACAGAGCUUCACUUUACAGCAGCACCAAGUUAAUAUGAAGUAGAAACAAGAAGAUAAAAUAAAGAUAUUCACAUACUCAAUUACAUACGGGAAUGAAUAGGGAGUCUGGGAACUCCCUUUGUCAGGUGCACACAGCAUUUUGCCUCAGAAAAGCUCUCAGUGUUACGCACACACAAAAUGGUAAAAUAUUCCACAGGCAAUCUUUACAAUAAAGAACUAUGCUACAGAUCUUUUGGUGGUAUGAUUACUGAUUUUAUGCAUGUCUUUAUAAACAGCGUUUUGCAUCACUGGCUCAACACGAAAAUUCAGAUUUGCUGUUUCAAAAUUUCCUUAGAAGCUACUUGUGCUCCUAAGUGAUUUGUAAGCAUGAAUUAUUAUUCAAAGAGAAAAAUUACUCAAACCCAUUUUUCCUCUGCUAGUGAUUUUCAAUAAAACAGAAAUUCAAGAAAUCUGUAUUUGAAAAUUGGUAGAUUGUGAUACAGGUUCAGAUGCUCUCUGAAACAGAAGCAGAAGAUAUCUUGCACAGCCUUUGCAAAAAUACUUUCCCGGCUUACUACAGGUGUACUUUCACAUGUUGAAUUGAUUGGAUUAAAAUCAUAGUGACCAGAAGAGGUAUGGGAUAUGUACUUUUUCUGACAGUACUGUAAUAAAAAACUAACAGGGUUUAAAAUAUAGUAUUAUAAGUAGUGAAUGUUUACAUUGCUGCAAUGACACAGUUUACAAAAACUUCAAAUGUAAUACUGAAGUAUACAGAUGUCCAAGAUGUAUCCUUAAUUAGGAUUAAAACAAACUUUUUGUUAUAAAGACAAGGACACAGAUUACUGGUUAUUGGCUGCUUUCACAAAUGAGAUUAUUGCCCAUCUUUACCCAAACAACAAGAGUUUAUAGGUUCACAUGUAUUUACUGUGAUUUCAUGCACAGAAUAGCCAUGCAUUAGAGUAAUUAAUUAUUUUUAUAGCUGUAGGUCAGAAUCUAUCCAAAAAUACUGAAAUAAGAGGUGAGUAGAAAUAUGUAUUUCUAUGACAAAAUUUGAUAAAAAUACUGUGAAAAAAAGACUUUUCCAUCUCUGCAAAUGUCAGUGAUAUAACUUAGUCACUAAUUAAUUUAAUAUAUUUUAAUAAAAAGAAUUUAAAUAAUAAUGUGGAUUAAAUACAGUACUUGGCACCAAAAGUAAUUUGGACAUUCCACUGGGAAGAUCACAAAGUGUUCAAGGUUGCAUUUUAAAUUUCCAGCCAGAAUCAAUAUAUGUAUCCUUGUUGUUUUACAAGUGUAAUACAUUCACUAGGAAAAAAAUUUCUUUCAAUAACUAAUUAUUAUCCACUACUCUGGUAAAAGUAAUUAAAAAAUUGAUAACUAGCUUGAAUCUUUAAAGAAGGGUUAGAUAUUAAGUUAACAGUAUUAAGAUGAUUCUCCAGAAAGUAACAAAUCAAAAUCAAUUCUAUAAAUUUCACAACAAACUAUUAAAAACCCAAAGUUCUUGAUUUCAAGUAUUUAAGUCCUUUUUUCUGGUAAACCUAAGAGGAGGAGCUCUGGCCACACCUCAGUUCCAUGGAAUAACUGCAAGUGUAACUGAAAAAUUAUCCAGGAAGGAAGAAGCUGAUUUCUACCAUUUCAGAAGAUUUUCAAGGGUCUAUGACUGAGCAGAC